rnacentral:misc_RNA from 1 species
GAAAGCGUCAAGAAGCCAAGUCCUUUCAUGUAAUGUCUAGAUAUAUAACAAUGGGAGGUAAGGCUUAAGCUACAGGCUGCAACAGUAGAAGACCCGACGCUUUCAAAUAGAGACCACAUUACACCUAUGUACAUGUCCUUUGCGUGCACUACUUGUCACAAGAUGGGAACGGGUCCAGUACUCCACAACUGUGGACUUAAAAUUGUGAUCCGCCUCGGCAAAGUAGAUUAAAG